rnacentral:rRNA from 1 species
GAGUAAUGUCUGGGAAACUGCCUGAUGGAGGGGGAUAACUACUGGAAACGGUGGCUAAUACCGCAUAACGUCGCAAGACCAAAGAGGGGGACCUUCGGGCCUCUUGCCAUCAGAUGUGCCCAGAUGGGAUUAGCUUGUUGGUGAGGUAACGGCUCACCAAGGCGACGAUCCCUAGCUGGUCUGAGAGGAUGACCAGCCACACUGGAACUGAGACACGGUCCAGACUCCUACGGGAGGCAGCAGUGGGGAAUAUUGCACAAUGGGCGCAAGCCUGAUGCAGCCAUGCCGCGUGUAUGAAGAAGGCCUUCGGGUUGUAAAGUACUUUCAGCGGGGAGGAAGG